GAGAGAGGAUAAUGAAAAUUAAAACCUCUACCGCAAGGAGUUUUUGGAUGAAUGCCAUCUGGGACUCUCUGUCCUAUUCCUGACAUCUGACAUUAAAGACAGUGUCUUGUGCAGAACAGGUGCACGGAUGUUUAAGACAUCAUUGUUUUUAUCACCUCAAGUCUUGGCCAUUGUCAUCAGAAGCCACAUCUUCCACAUGCACCUGGUCACACUCCUGUUAAAAGACAAAACCACGCACUAUUCAAUCCACUCAAGUGGAGUGAUGAAAAUAUCCAUGAAAGAGCAGCCUAGGGGAG